UACGUAGGGGCCUAGCGUUGUUCGGAUUCAUUGGGCGUAAAGGGUGCGUAGGCGGCGCGGUAAGUCGGGUGUGAAAUCUCGGAGCUUAACUCCGAAACUGCAUUCGAUACUGCCGUGCUUGAGGACUGGAGAGGAGACUGGAAUUUACGGUGUAGCGGUGAAAUGCGUAGAUAUCGUAAGGAAGACCAGUGGCGAAGGCGGGUCUCUGGACAGUUCCUGACGCUGAGGCACGAAGGCCAGGGGAGCAAACAGG
rnacentral:rRNA from 1 species